rnacentral:piRNA from 1 species
UGGCACCAUUGCCUUUUCCGGUCAC